rnacentral:rRNA from 1 species
UACGAAGGGGGCGAGCGUUGUUCGGAUUUACUGGGCGUAAAGGGCGCGCAGGCGGCUCAUUUUGUCAGGCGUGAAAGCCCCGGGCUUAACCUGGGAACUGCGUUUGAUACGGAUGGGCUAGAGUUCGGGAGAGGAGAGUGGAAUUCCCAGUGUAGAGGUGAAAUUCGUAGAUAUCAGGAGGAACACCGAUGGCGAAGGCAGAUCUCUGGGCCGUAACUGACGCUGAGGAGCGAAAGCAUGGGGAGCGAACAGG